rnacentral:rRNA from 1 species
CAAUUGAAGAGUUUGAUCCUGGCUCAGAACGAACGCUGGCGGCGUACCUAACACAUGCAAGUCGAACGAGAAAUUCCGAUUCGUCGGGAAAGUAAAGUGGCGAACGGGUGAGUAAUCUGAGGGUAAUUUACCUUUGAAUUAGGGAUAACUUUGCGAAAGCGAAGAUAAUACCUGAUAAGACUACAGUCUCUUAGGAGACAGUAGGAAAAGGUGGCCUCUGUCUCAUGCUAUCGUUUAAGGAUGAGCCCUCAUACUAUUAGCUUGUUGGUGAGGUAAUGGCUCACCAAGGCUACGAUGGUUAGCUGGUCUGAGAGGAUGAUCAGCCACACUGGAACUGAGACACGGUCCAGACUCCUACGGGAGGCAGCAGUGAGGGAUAUUGCGCAAUGGGGGAAACCCUGACGCAGUGACGCCGCGUGAGUGAUGAAGGCUUUCGAGUCGUAAAGCUCUGUUAGGUGGGAAGAAAUGUUCAUGUGCUAAUACCAUGUGGGCUUGACGGUACCACCAGAGGAAGCACCGGCUAACUCCGUGCCAGCAGCCGCGGUAAUACGGAGGGUGCAAGCGUUGUUCGGAAUUAUUGGGCGUAAAGAGCGUGUAGGCGGUUUGGUAAGUCAGAUGUGAAAGCCCUGGGCUCAACCCAGGAAGUGCAUUUGAUACUGCCUGACUUGAGUAUGGGAGAGGAGAGUGGAAUUCCCAGUGUAGAGGUGAAAUUCGUAGAUAUUGGGAGGAACACCCGUGGCGAAGGCGACUCUCUGGACCAAUACUGACGCUGAGACG